UUUUUGGUAGCUGAUUGGAUUCUUUCUUCAUUCUUUGCCAUGAAAUAAUAUAAAAAAGAAGUUCUAACUUGGAAAAAGGUUGCAGUACAGUUUAGCGGAAUACAUUCUAAAAACAUGCCUGGGAUCAAGUUGCCUGCACAAAAUAUACAUUGAGGACCUUAUCACACAAACCUGCUAUUUUGCUAUGGUUGUGUUGAUAUAAGACGGAUAUCAUGUUAAGCACUCUCAAUAGUGCUCUUUAAUAGUACAGUUGUGCUGAUUUGCCAAUUCAUGCUAUUACACCCUUGUAGCUCUACCAUUCCACACUACUGUUGUUCUUUAUUUUUUUAGGACAAAAAGGUAAAUAUAAAUAGAAAAGAAAAACAGCCAUCUUGGGAAUAAUGAGAAGGAGGGGCAAAGAGGGAAAGCAAGAUAAUCCCAUCUUCUGUUGUCACUUUACUGCUGGCAUGCUGCCAUAGAAGCGGAAGGGAUCUUUCACAUCAAGUAGCAAAAGAUCCAGAGGCUACCAUACCAACGUACUGGCCUCUGCAUGGUCCAGGAUUUUCUUGCUAAAAAUGAAUACUGGAACUAACUAUGACAACACUGUAAAAAAAUUAAAGUUGUUUUGGGGAGCAUUAAUUCCAAGAUUAUCUUUGCCAGUUGGGAGAUUCUGGGAAUUGUCAAACAAAAGGGAUUGGAACCAAUGGUUGGAAAUGGCAAGAAAACAGAUAUCGGUAAGACACUAGAAGAAACACUCUCAUGCUACAAGCAGUUUGAAAAGAGACCAUGUGCCUGUUUGAUAGUAGCGGGGCUCUCCUUCUCUGAAGGUAUUGUAUCCAAAGCUGGAUAAAUUAGACACCUGUGUGAGGGAUGUUGUAUCUGUAUCGUUAACUGAACUGAACAGGAGCUUGUCCUCACUGACAUGUAGGGCAUGCAUCUAAAAUUGAAUUUAUCCUCAAUUUGCAAGAACUUGCUAAAAUUCAUCCAUUUCCUCAUAUUCAGGAAGGAAAGAACUCAAGGUUUAAUAAUUCAGAAAGUACGGGAAUGCAACAUUUCCCCACCGGUAGAUCUUUUGACUAUAGAAUGAUAAAGAGUAACUAUAAAGAAUAAAUCAAUAAUAUUUGAAGCUAUCAUUCCAAUAGCCUGGAGGCUGGCAGGGUAUAGGAGUCUGAAAGUUGUAGUCCAAAAAGAUAGUUUCCUGAAACUCUGUAGAUUUGUAUUGUUAAAUGAACAUUGCCAUGCAAGGGCUGGAAUAGCCAAGCCUGCCAAGCCCUCCCUCCCCUUUAAUGCAAUUAUCAAAAAUCAGAUAGACUGGGCCUAUUUGUGCUUAGUCACCCUAAGAAAACUUUAGUAAAGAAAAAAUGUCUGAGGCUAAAAUAUUUUGGUUGUGGUUAUUGUUGUUACAAUAAGCCAACUGCUGCUUUUAAUGUAAUGGCCCCUUUGUGUAUGUGUCCCUGAUGUAUGAUGUGCUAAACAUGGCACAUUAUUUCACAGAGAACGUAAAGUUCUUUGAACAAAACACAAAGCACACAGCACCCGACUCAGAGGACAACAGACUCAACCUGAAAUGCCUGAUGUUUACCAGAAAUGGACUAAAGCAGGAAAAAUAAAUGAAUGUGUGGGUGGGGGGAACAGCAGGGAGCAGCAGAUAAAUCAGCCCCUAGUGUGAUACCUCUGUUCUAAUAUGUGUCUUUUUGAAAGAACAGGACACGUCAGUUAACCCAGUAGGUGGACUGAGGACAAUCAUGAAGCCAGCACCAUCUAAUAGAUGGGAUGGGGGAGAGAGAUGAUUCUGUAUGUUGCCCUCUUUUCCUCACGCUGUGAUGAGGUGCCUGUGCUCAAGUGCUUAACUGGAUAUUUCUGAGAUAAGUAACUCUAAAUUGUGAUUUCACCAAACAUUGCCCUGUCCUCUUCUUAUGACAGUAUGGAAAGCUAUUCUGGCAUUUAUCACACAAAACUGCUAUUCCAUGGUAAUCAGGCGAUCAUUGAUGCCAGGAUGAGCACUCUCGCUAUUAAACAUUUCUGCAUUUGCACAAUUGGUUAUACAUCUGUAUAAUCUUAUAGCUCUGUCGUUCUGCACAUCCCCUGCUCUGUACCUUUUUUAAAUAAAAAGUUUGUUUUAAGCGAUUUGAAAUGCCAGCUAAUGUUUUUGUUUUUAAAAAAAAACAAAUAAAAAUUUAAAUCUCAAAAUUUACUUCCUCAGGAAUAGUGAUGGGGGAGAGGAAGAGAGAAAAAAAUUCCCACCUCCUGAGCUCGUUUCAGUGCCGGCUCACCCACACAAAGGCAGAACACCCCCAUUGUACAAGAUAGGUGAUGGGAACAUAGUAUGAACUGCAGCCAUUGAUAAUGAGUUUUUUAGUCAAUAGCAGGAGGGUAGGUUUAUUACGAUAAGGAGCAGACAAUGUGAUGCACAUCAUGUGACAGGGAUUUAAUUCCAGUUUGCUUCCUUUGUGCAGUAAAGUUCUUCUCUCCAAUAACAUGAUCUGCAUGGAGCCAUGUGGUAUAGUGAUUGACCUGGGACCCCGGUGGCACAGUGUGUUAAAGCGCUGAGCCGUUGGGCUAUGAUUCUGGAGCACAGGCUUCACAUUCUGACUCAAGCACGGAAACCCAUUGUGUGCACUUGAGAAAGUCACAUACUCUUAUCUUCAGAGACCCUGUUAUAAGUUCACUAUAAACCAAAAAUGACUUGCAGGCAUACAGUAAUAAAGUUGAUUUGUACUUGUUCUUGGGCAGUCAAAAAUGAAGUUUGGCACUCAGCAUAAGAGUGGAACCAUGCCCUUCAGACAGUCCCAAAAUAUAGUCAGCUAAAUUGACCCAUUAGCCGAGUUCCUACAUCAAACAGGUCGAGCAUAACAUUCCACUUGUAUCAUUUUGUGUCUUGCUUUGCAGUGAUCGUAAAACUCUCAGGACCCUUCUACACUGCCCCUAUAUUACAGGAUAUGAUCCCAGAUUAUCUGUUUAGCCCAGGUUAUCUGGCAGUGUUCACUCAUAUAAUCUGAUUUUAAAAAGAUAGUAGCCCCUGGUGGCACAGUGGAUUAAACCCUUGUGCUGGCAGGACUGCUGACUUGAAGGCUGGGUUGCUUACCUGAAGGUUGCCAGUUCGAAUCCAACCCAGGGAGAGUGUGGAUGAGCUCCAUCUGUCAGCUCCAGCUCCAUGCAGGGACAUGAGAGAAGCCUCCCAGAAGGAAGGUAAAAUCAUCAAAACAUCUGGGCAUCCCCUGAGCAAUGUCCUUGCAGACAGCCAAUUCUCUCACACCAGAAGUGACUUGCAGUUUUUCAAGUCGCUCCUGACACGAAAAAAAAUUAAAAUAGAUAAUCUGGAAUCAGUUCCUGGGAUAUAGGACAGUGUACAAGUGGCCUUAGAUGCAGAAGGAGCAGCUGGUCUCUGCUUCUUUAGGCCAUGUAAACAUUGCCAAGUCCAAGAUAGCCUUCAGUGAUGUGCCUUGCCUUACCAAUAGCUGCCUGGUCAUUGCCCAAUAUAGGUUAUCGGGCAAAGCCUGAUUCCACAGAAAGAUUUUAACUUGUGUUUAUUGUGAUGUCUCAUGGGCCUUGUAGUCCCGUUCCUAGUGCUAUUGUGGCAGAUGAGGAGGAAAACAUGGGAUUUCCACUGGUUCAGCUUGAAUCGGAGCCUCGCCACCUGGAAGAUGUUUGUCCUCAGGAAGUUAACCAAACAAGCCUUGGGCAGAAUUCUCCCCCGUUUUCCCGAAAGGACAAUUAUAAUAGAGAUAGAGGAGUCAGGGAGGCUAAUCACCGGAGCCUCAGAAUCGCUGCCAGACAAUUAGCUGAUUAGGUCUGCUUCCUUUGGGAAAUUCUAAGGAGUCAUGCAUCUGGACAGAGUUGGGUUUCACUUCUUGUUCUCCAGGGAAAGUGUUCUGUUGGCGGGAAAACGAGACCCAAUAUAGGGGUUUUGCCGCAAGGGGAACCUUGCGGAGUCAAUUGUUCAGCUUGAGGAGAGAGAUCGUGUGUGGACUUCGUAUUCCUUGUUCCCUGCUUCCCGGAUCUAGUUUCAAGUCUUGCCUUGCUUCACGUUUGCCACGGACCUUGUUUCAUGCUUCAAGUUGUCCCGUUCCAAGUCCUUGAUUCAGCCAAGUACCAAGCCUAUGAUCCAGCCUUGUUGUCAAGCUUCAAUGGACUAAAGACCUUGUCAUCUCCCCACACUAUUGCUUGGCAAAGCGUGUGUUUCGGCUAAUGGAUUAUAACUUUGAACUCUAAUAUUUUAUAUUGGACAUUAUUUUCCUGGACUAUAUUUGGCCUUUCCUGAAAGGUCUGCUUCUGAACUUUAUUCUUCACUUGUUUUUAUUGACUUUAUAUAUUUCUUAAAUAAAGAUAUUAGAUAGUU